UCAGGUUGAUUCUGCCUGACGAGGAAGCUAGUUUCACAGAUUCAGCCAUGCAAGUAGUAUGUAUGUAUACACAAGGCUCAGUAUCGAGUAUAGCUUUGCUCUCCAAGAUGUGAUACUUUCAGGAAACAGAAAAUAAAGCAUCUAUCUUCUAAAGAACUUUAGAGGAGAGGAGAAGAAGCGACUCACCUAUCAGUUAGUAGGUAUGGUAAGGGCAUACCUAGACGAAGACGGGUACGGGGAAGGCAACUUCGAUUCCGGAGAGGGCGCAUUUAGAGAUGGCGACCAGUUCUAAGGAGUGCAGCAGGCUCGAAACUUACCGAAUUAUAGAUUAGAGGUAGUGAUGAAACGUUUAUAUAAAGAUACUGGUAAAGCAAGUAUUAGCAACUGGAGGGUAAGUCUGGUGCCAGCAGCCGCGGUAAUACCAGCUCCAGGAGCUUCUUCGAUAUGUUGCGGUUAAAACGUCCGUAGUCGCGGCCUGGGACUGACCUGUAAUCUAUUUGGUCAACAAAUAGAUAGGGGCAGUAGCAGGCUGGAAAAGAGCAAUUUGGUGUCAGCUAAUGGUAUGGGGAGGGGUGAAGUCUGAGGAUCCAUGCAGGAGGAGCAAAGGCGAAAGCACUGACAAAGAUUGAUUCUGUUGAUCAAGGACAGAGGCUAGAGGAUCGAAUACGAUUAGAUACCGUAGUAGUUCUAGCAGUGACCGAUGAUGAUUUUGCUUAUGGCAAUAGAGAAAUCAAAAUAGAUCUCCGGGGGGAGUACAUGCGCAAGCAAGAAACUUAAAGAAAUUGACGGAAGACUACCACAAGGUGUGGAUUGUUCGGCUUAAUUUGACUCAACGCGGGAAAACUUACCAAGCUUAUUUGUUCAACGAGUAUAUAUACGAGAGCAAAAUGGUGGUGCAUGGCCGUUCCUAACAGAUGGAGUGAUUUUGUGAUUAACUUCCGUAAUCUGUGUAAUCUCAGAAUAGCUUGUUCGAAAGAACAAUUCGAGGCAAGAACAGGUCAGUGAUGUCCUUUGAUAGCUUGGGCCGCACGCGCAAUACAAUGUUUUAUGUAGUAAGAUAUAGAUAAAAAAUAGAACAUGAGGGAUUGAGAGCUGAAAAGCACUCAUGAACACGGAAUAGCUAGUAAUCGUCAGUUCAAUAUACGGCGAUGAAUAUGUCCCUGUUCUUUGUACACACCGCCCGUCGUUAUCGAAGAUGGAGUGAUUUUUGAGUCAAUUAUAAUUGGCGAAUGAGUCAUUCUAAAUCCGGUACAAGUCGUAACAAGGCUACGG
rnacentral:rRNA from 1 species